AACGAACGCUGGCGGCAUGCCUAACACAUGCAAGUCGAACGAAGGCUUCGGCCUUAGUGGCGCACGGGUGCGUAACGCGUGGGAAUCUGCCCUUUGGUUCGGAAUAACAGCUGGAAACGGCUGCUAAUACCGGAUGAUGACGAAAGUCCAAAGAUUUAUCGCCAGAGGAUGAGCCCGCGUUGGAUUAGGUAGUUGGUGGGGUAAAGGCCUACCAAGUCGACGAUCCAUAGCUGGUCUGAGAGGAUGAUCAGCCACACUGGGACUGAGACACGGCCCAGACUCCUACGGGAGGCAGCAGUGGGGAAUAUUGGACAAUGGGCGCAAGCCUGAUCCAGCAAUGCCGCGUGAGUGAUGAAGGCCCUAGGGUUGUAAAGCUCUUUUACCCGGGAAGAUAAUGACUGUACCGGGAGAAUAAGCCCCGGCUAACUCCGUG
rnacentral:rRNA from 1 species